UAGGUCUUCUCCCUUUAUGUGUGAUCCCAUAGUUCAAUUCUAUUUAGUAGUGAGAUAUACCAUGAUCUCUAUCAUAGGUAUCACUGAAACUCCUUUCAAUGGAUCAGAACAGUUUCACUCUAACUUGACAAGGAUCAUUGAUCUAGAACGAUCCUAUUGAGCUCUCACAAUCUAUCAGUGAUAUCUAGCAAUAUGUAGUGACAACCUAGCAGAAUCAAAAUAGAGCCUCUAGGUAUAAUUAAUGUAUGAUACAAUCCUUUUAUUGUGAGUCCCGACUAGAUGGC
rnacentral:lncRNA from 1 species